rnacentral:rRNA from 1 species
UACAGAGGGUGCGAGCGUUGUUCGGAAUUAUUGGGCGUAAAGGGCGCGUAGGCGGUGCGGUAAGUCACCUGUGAAAUCUCCUGGCUCAACUGGGAGCUUGCAGGCGAAACUGCUGUGCUGGAGUGUGGGAGAGGUGCGUGGAAUUCCUGGUGUAGCGGUGAAAUGCGUAGAUAUCAGGAGGAACACCUGUGGCGAAAGCGGCGCACUGGACCACAACUGACGCUGAGGCGCGAAAAGCUAGGGGGAGCAAACAGG